rnacentral:rRNA from 1 species
UACGAAGGGGGCUAGCGUUGCUCGGAAUCACUGGGCGUAAAGCGCACGUAGGCGGAUUGUUAAGUCAGGGGUGAAAUCCUGGAGCUCAACUCCAGAACUGCCUUUGAUACUGGCGAUCUCGAGUUCGGGAGAGGUGAGUGGAACUGCGAGUGUAGAGGUGAAAUUCGUAGAUAUUCGCAAGAACACCAAGUGGCGAAGGCGGCUCACUGGCCCGAUACUGACGCUGAGGUGCGAAAGCGUGGGGAGCAAACAGG